rnacentral:lncRNA from 1 species
CUCUAAGCCUGUAUCCUAAAGGUUAAGUCAUCUAGCUAACCCUCUAGACUGCUCUAAGGCUGUAUCCUAAAGGUUAAGUCAUCUAGCUAACCCUCUAGACUGCUUUAAGGCUGUAUCCUAAAGGUUAAGUCAUCUAGCUAAUCCUCUAGACUGCUCUAAGGCUGUAUCCUAAAGGUUAAGUCAUCUAGCUAACCCUCUAAACUGCUCUAAGGCUGUAUCCUAAAGGUUAAGUCACCUAGCUAACCCUCUCUAGACUGCGCUAAGGCUGUAUCCUAAUGGUUAAGUCACCUAGCUAACCCUCUCUAGACUGCGCUAAGGCUGUAUCCUAAUGGUUAAGUCAUCCAGCUAACCCUCUAGACUGCUCUAAGGCUGUAUCCUAAUGGUUAAGUCAUCUAGCUAACCCUCUAGACUGCUCUAAGGCUGUAUCCUAAAGGUUAAGUCAUCUAGCUAACCCUCUAGACUGCUCUAAGGCUUCGUCCCAAAGGUUAAGUCAUCUCGCUAACCCUCUCUAGACUGCUCUAAG